CCCAAAGUGCUGGGAUUACAGACAUGAGCCACCACGCCCAGACCCUUGCUUUACUUUCAUUUGGCAUAUGGUUUUUUCCACAGUGAUGACCAACAAAUGAAACUGUGCACCUUUGAAAGAGACUCUGCAGUUACAUUUCAGCUCUAAUAUCCCACACACAGGUAUCCUUGCAUCCUGUGAGGGGGAGGAGGUGCAGGCACUAAGCAGAUUCCUGGAAAUCAAUGGCCAGAGGCGAUGUUUUCAGAGAGGUCAGCGCUGCCUCCUCCCUCCCUUUCAUGGCAUUGAAUGGUGAGAGUGCAAUACCCUCAGUGGCGCCUAACAGUCAGCAGUGAGCGCUCAGGACCGUCACCCACCUCUGCGGCCGAUGACCCUCUCUUUGGCUCUGGCCCCAGCCGGCCUUGCGCUGUUCCUUCUCACGGUUUUUCCUGGCUCAUCUUCGUGCCCCCUCCCCUGAGGGUCCUGGAGGUCUGAGCCCUCUGGCCGCCUCUCCUCUCUCCUUGCACUCCUCCUCUCAUGGAGCGACCCCGUCUGUGCCACCUUCUCACCUUCCAUGUCACACACCUUCAGCCUUCACUGAGGAGAGAGCAGGGCUGCAGCAUCGUGUUCCAGUCUCAUCCCUCACGGAGCCGAGAACUAAAAAUUGAAACAGAGAAACCUCCUGACAAGGCCGCUGGCAAGUUCAAUGGGAACAACUCAGGUUUUCAGAAAGAAGUAUGAUCCCUGGAGCCAGCGGGUUCAAAAGAACGAAGAGAUUUAUCAAGAAUGAGACAUACCAGACCAGCUGCGUUGCUUUCCAUUGACAGGAAGCAAAUCAGCUGCUCAGGAAAAGGUCAAGCAUGGCACCUGGUCUCAGAGAGGUGUCCGUCAAAGGCUGUCAUAACAGCCCUAUGGACAAGAAGGAGACCUGGGCCAGGAUCUCCAUGAACUGUCCUAAAAUUUCCAAGAGAAGGAGACAUCCGUCAAGUAGAAGACAAAAAGGGAUGCUGACCAGGGAGGCCGGAUGCUGGAUGUGGUCUAGGAGGAAGCCUUGGAAUUUUCUCACUCUGGAUUGUGGAACCACAAAGUCAGCCUGGAGCUGCCUACAUCUGGACACCUAGGCUCCUGUCAGAGCCAGUUUAUUAUUUCCAGUCACUCAUUACUGGGAUUCUCCUCUCCCUGGGGCGUUAUGAAGGUAAGGAGAGGGUUCUUGGGCAGUCAGUUUCAGCAUUAACCGUUUUAUUCCCACAUUUGGCAAUAGGGCUUGCCGUCCAUUAUUUAUGGCCUCUGUCUUAAUCUGUUCUGUGUUGCUAUAACACGAUACCACAGACUGGGAAAUUUAUGAAGAAAAUCAAUUUAUUUCUCACAGUUCUGGAGUCUGGAAGUUCAAUAUCAAAGUGCCAGCAUCUGACAAGGGCCUUCUUGCUGAGACAUCCCAUGGCAGAAGCCAAAAGAGCAAGAGAGAGCGAGGGCAAGUGAGCAAAAGGAGGCCAAACUCACUUUUAAAACAGCCCACUCUAGAGAUAACUAACCCACUCCCUCAAAAAUGACAUUAAUCCAUCAGGAGAGCAGAACGCUUAUGACCUAAUCACCUUAUUAGGCCCCACCUCCUAACACUGUUGCAUUGGGGAUUAAGUUUCCAACACAUGAGUUUUGGAGAACACAUUCUCAAACCAUAGCAGCUUCCUUCCAAAACCUGUCUCAACUGCCCAAAGCCUUUUCCAGACUCUUCUUCUACUUGCAAACCCUCUAUUCAAACCAAAGAAACAAUUAAUAUAACCUUAAAUUUACAAAACCAUGUGGUUUGUUAAACAAUCACAU
rnacentral:lncRNA from 1 species